GCGGGGUCCCUGGUGUGGAAGUGGCUGCCUCAGACGUUUGUGUGGGGGGAUUGGCGGUUUCUGGAUCCUUCCUCCAGGAUUUUCAGUGCUGGGGAGCUCUCCUUUCUGCAGUGUGGAGGAGCGCUGGGCAGGAGGCGGCGCCAAGGAGAAUGAGGACAAUGUGAUGCUCAGCCGCUGAGGCCAAUCCAGGGAGCCUGCCUUGAUCUCUGCGAUCAGGAAUGUGGCUGAGCAGAUGCAGCUUCUACCUCCAAAUGGACACGCCUCUCAGAUGCUCUGUUGCUAGAAGGGUCCUGGCAGUGCAGGGAAAGGUGGCUCUGCACUGGAGGCUCUACAUAAAGGGCUCAAAACUUCUGGUCCAGUGGCUAAAAGCUGUUCACAGGGAUGAUUGGCCCCUACUAAGCAUUCUUUCAUCUGUAGUGAACAUUUUACCAAAAAAAACUCUUGGACAGGCUGGAGGAUCAGUACUACAUGCUCAAGCCCAUGGCCUUGCCCUCCAACUUCCACCUGACUGAGAAGGAGGAGCUGAAGGCCGUGGCCACGCAGGAGAAAUGACACCAAGAUAGCUGCCGGGGUCCUGAGGAACAUGCGAGUGAAGCAGAUGGGAAAGGAGCUUCAGGUUCAUCCUCAUCCUUGAGGGAAAACCUGAGGGCCCAGCCAGGGUCCCGCAAGUUGAAGCGAGCCUCUCUGCAGAGCGAACCCGCACCCAGUGCCACCCAGGAAGCCACCAGUCAGGCGCGAGCACAGAGUCUCUGGAAGGAACUCCAGGAGACAGUGUGGCCUCCACAGUGUGUGGCAGCCUGGGAGAUGCAAACACGUCUGCUGUAGAUGCUGGCGAUGAGACCCCCUCUGCCCAGCCAGGGCCUGCUGAGUAAGAGUGGCAUUUCCAUGGGUGACUUUAUCCCUCAGGAUCUGAGGCAUGCACAUUUAUUGGCUGGCUUCCUUCUUACAGUUUCUGCUCAGCACACACUCAAGAGAGGCCAUCUGUCCCUUGAGAGGCUGUUGACCCAAAGAGGCUGAAGAGAGAUGUGGAGCCCAGCUACAGCGGGACCAGCCCUGGGCCUGAUGAGAGCUUGGCCCAGAGCCCCCACAUUCAUCAUUCACAAUGAUGCCUCAGAAACCCUCCCAGAGCCCCUCCACCCUCCAACAGAUGUCACCCCCGAGCCAGCCGCAGAAGAUGUGCAGGGCGAACACAGCGACACCGGCCCCACGUCCCUCAGCAGGGUCAUCUUGUCAGCACUGGGGGCCCAAGAACUCCUCG